GCUUCAUUUCUCUAACAGAAAUCAUUGUGAUGAAUGUGUUCUAUGAGGUCACAGUCUUCAGAAGGCCUAGUGCCACCUGCUAGUACACCGCUAUCACCUGGGCAGGGCACCAGGUUUAACUCCUGGAGGCUGGGACCCACACUAAGCAGACAGACUGUGUGAAGCUUCUAACUGAAGACUUUAUGAGGUGUUGGAGUUGUGUGCUGAUCUAUGUACAAUGUACUGAAUAUGCUGUCCCCAGGAUGCUCACUGAACUGCUCAUAAUUUUGAAGAUUCCUCCAUGGAGUCAUAUUUUUCUUCCUCCUGAAGUGGCUACAGCAUGCAAGGCAAAUCCCUGCCAAGUAUUUUC
rnacentral:lncRNA from 1 species